AUUUAGGAGGGGUUUGUUGAGAAAGGCUGGAUAAAUAUGAGUAAAGUGCAUAUGCACCUUACUCAUAUUUAUCCAGCCUUUCUCAACAAACCCCUCCUAAAUCCUCUAAAUA